UACGGAGGAUCCAAGCGUUAUCCGGAAUCAUUGGGUUUAAAGGGUCCGUAGGCGGUUUAGUAAGUCAGUGGUGAAAGCCCAUCGCUCAACGAUGGAACGGCCAUUGAUACUGCUAGACUUGAAUUAUUAGGAAGUAACUAGAAUAUGUAGUGUAGCGGUGAAAUGCUUAGAUAUUACAUGGAAUACCAAUUGCGAAGGCAGGUUACUACUAAUGGAUUGACGCUGAUGGACGAAAGCGUGGGGAGCGAACAGG
rnacentral:rRNA from 1 species